AGGUGAAUAUGAUGAAAGCAAUGUAUAUCGUAGAUGAUGAUCAAUUUCAAGUGAUCAAGAUUUUGCUGCGUUCUUUCUGAUCCACAC